rnacentral:rRNA from 1 species
GACGAACGCUGGCGGCGCGCCUAACACAUGCAAGUCGAACGAGAGAUGAGGAGCUUGCUCUUCAAAUCGAGUGGCGAACGGGUGAGUAACGCGUGAGGAACCUGCCUCAAAGAGGGGGACAACAGUUGGAAAUGACUGCUAAUACCGCAUAAGCCCACGACCCGGCAUCGGGUAGAGGGAAAAGGAGCAAUCCGCUUUGAGAUGGCCUCGCGUCCGAUUAGAUAGUUGGUGAGGUAACGGCUCACCAAGUCGACGAUCGGUAGCCGGACUGAGAGGUUGAACGGCCACAUUGGGACUGAGACACGGCCCAGACUCCUACGGGAAGCAGCAGUGGGGAAUAUUGCACAAUGGGCGAAAGCCUGAUGCAGCAACGCCGCGUGAGGGAAGACGGUUUUCGGAUUGGUAAACCUCUGUUUUCGGUGACGAACAAAUGACGGUAACCGAGUAGGAAGCCACGGCUAACUACGUG